GGAAUGGCGACGUGUUUCUUUUUCAAAUACGGAUUAAGUUUUGCUUUACUCUGUUUUUGUUUUAAAGGUUCAGACACACAGUGUAGUUCUAGCAACCAUUUUGGACCAAACUGUGACUUCGAGUGCCAUUGUAUGAAUAAUGAACAAUGUAACAGCAGCACAGGAAACUGUCCCUCAGGUUGUGACUUUGACUGGGUAGGGCCUGGAUGUCAAAGAAACAAUAUAAUACCUGCAGGGGAGAAGGAUCAAAGCGAAAUGGUGACACGUCACCUAAGUAAUAUACCACAGAGACGACUUGCUCUGCUGGCUGUUGAUAGAGAUUUAUUGACAUGUAGUCAAACAAACUUUGCAAAUAUGUCAAGGCACAUUCCUUGGUGGAGACUCUGGCUUAAAGAUAAAUACAAAAUCAGGAAUAUCUCUUUUAUUACAAGCAAAGAGU